UAGUGAGCCUUUUAUCCCGCCAACUCCUAAAGCCACCAGAUAGAGGCCUGCAAACAAUAUCACUGCUUUUGCACCGACAAGCUCUUGACAUGGAGAAUGGGCGCUGGCUGAAACGCAACUUGGUGUUUUCAAUGAAGGUUGUAAUGUAAGCAUCUGCUAGAAAGCCACCAAGGAGAGCGAGGAGAAAAGUUGUCCCCAUGAAAUUGGUGACAAUAUUGGCGGAACUGGAUGGCGAAUAAUGCAUGAAUUUUGUCAGGUAGACCACAAGGUUGCUUGCAUUGGCCAGGAUGAGAUAAAAAAAUGAUCUCCCCAUAGUUAUUUGACCGCUUACCUAAGACAAAGAAAGCAGCCACCAUGCCUCCAUGACGAUCUACGAGUGCAGAUCAUGGUGCUUUGCUGAUGAUAGUGCUAAUUUAUGGCUUUUUCCGGUGUGUCCCACACCCACAUCACAUUCACAUGCACUGCCUCUCCAGCAGUGCUCGAGCCACGGUGCUAGUAACUGCUCCAGAAGACCUCAAAGCUUGUGAACCAAGUAUCUUCAGAUAUCGACCGAGUAUCAUCUGCACUAUUCUCGUGCCUUCCACGACAUGGCAGAGUCCUCAUUCCUCAGAUUCAAUUUGUGAAGGCCAUAAGGAUUUGCUCUAAAUAUUAGCCUUCCUUCUUUAGUGUCUAUUGGUACCAUUGCCUUACAAAAUUUCUAGGUUCCCAGAUCCACGAUGUUGUCCGUCCGAGCUCACUUUGUUUGUCUGUUCAGGUUAUCUGCAGUUCCCUUCUUCCCCUGAUGCUUGAAACAUGUGGAUGCAAUUCGAUUGGAAGCAACUUGGUGGUGCUGGAUCCGUCUAAUUGCGCUCCCACAUUGGUUGGCUGCGAGCCGAAAGAGACGGAUCAGUGCCUAUCCCACCGCCCAUCUCCACACAUGAGUAUCGAAAAACCGGUUAGUUCUUCUCUCUUGUGCUUAAUCUGAAGCAGUGAAAAACUACAACCAGAAA